rnacentral:rRNA from 1 species
CCGAUGGUGCCCACUUGUGGGUGGAUUAGUGGCGAACGGGUGAGUAACACGUGAGUAACCUGCCCUUAACUCUGGGAUAAGCCUGGGAAACUGGGUCUAAUACCGGAUAUGACUCCUCAUCGCAUGGUGGGGGGUGGAAAGCUUUAUUGUGGUUUUGGAUGGACUCGCGGCCUAUCAGCUUGUUGGUGAGGUAAUGGCUCACCAAGGCGACGACGGGUAGCCGGCCUGAGAGGGUGACCGGCCACACUGGGACUGAGACACGGCCCAGACUCCUACGGGAGGCAGCAGUGGGGAAUAUUGCACAAUGGGCGAAAGCCUGAUGCAGCGACGCCGCGUGAGGGAUGACGGCCUUCGGGUUGUAAACCUCUUUCAGUAGGGAAGAAGCGAAAGUGACGGUACCUGCAGAAGAAGCGCCGGCUAACUACGUGCCAGCAGCCGCGGUAAUACGUAGGGCGCAAGCGUUAUCCGGAAUUAUUGGGCGUAAAGAGCUCGUAGGCGGUUUGUCGCGUCUGCCGUGAAAGUCCGGGGCUCAACUCCGGAUCUGCGGUGGGUACGGGCAGACUAGAGUGAUGUAGGGGAGACUGGAAUUCCUGGUGUAGCGGUGAAAUGCGCAUAUAUCAGGAGGAACACCGAUGGCGAAAGCAGGUCUCUGGGCAUUAACUGACGCUGAAGAGCGAAAGCAUGGGGAGCGAACAGGAUUAUAUACCCUGGUAGUCCAUGCCGUAAACGUUGGGCACUAUGUGUGGGGGGACAUUCCACGUUUUUCCGC